CGUGAGUAACCUGCCUUACACAAGGGGAUAGCCUCUGGAAACGGAGAAUAAUACCCUAUGACAUUACAGCCUCGCAUGAAGCAGUAAUCAAAGUGUUUAGCGGUGUAAGAUGGACUUGCGUCUGAUUAGCUAGUUGGUGAGAUAACAGCUCACCAAGGCAACGAUCAGUAGCCGGCUUGAGAGAGUGUACGGCCACAUUGGGACUGAGACACGGCCCAG
rnacentral:rRNA from 1 species